ensembl:lncRNA
UUGAUGUAUCUGUUUUAAUAUUCCUCUGGUCAUAGAGCUUUUCAGAUGGAUGCUGAGGUUUUUUAGGUCAGGUAGAAUCUGCGAUCUCUGAUCCAGUUCGUUUGCUGGCUUCCUUGGCGGUAAUACGCUGUGUUUUCCACCAACUGGCAACCCGGGGUCUCAAAAUCCUAUUGGUUUAAUUGGCAGUGGGCGGAGUCACACAGACCAAAACAAAACCCAACAUUCUGACACGGAACACACAUUUCAAAGCAAAGUAAAUGGCAUUGUUUUUCAGAGAAAGUUAACGUGUUUUCUAAAUAUCUGCAGGUAUUUUAUGCUUCAGUGCAGCCAAAAUAUUACAUACAUACAGCGCCUUUAAGGCAGUAAGAUCAUAAGCUUUACUGGGAACACAAAAGGCACAGAAUACCUGCAAUGACCUGCAAAUACUUCUUGUAUAUUGUUGCGUACUCUUCUACACCAAUUUUGAUAUUAAUUUUCACUGAAUUUUGCCUUUGCAGGGCAGCAAACCUGAACAACAUUAAAUAGCAAUAUUCUGUAGUACUGUAAUGUUUUUGACAGUAUCUACCUGUAUCUAAAGCAAGAACCCUUGCUGUAAAGGAGUGAUUUUUGCUUGCCCUUCGGUUCCUCAGAAAGACGGAAGAAAGCAUGGUAUUCCACACACAUCUUCCAGAAGGCCUUGCAGACGUCACGACUGGCCAUAGCAAACUCGACCGUGUCCUUACGAGACUCCUGAACAGACACAAUGAUGCAAAACCAGAUUUUCAGAAACAGAAGACAAUACUUCAGUCACAUUAGUUCAAUCAAACACAAGUGGCAUGGGAAAGCACAUACCCUGCAGAAGAUAGGAGACCAGCAGAGCGGCGCUGUUGUCGUUACACGUCAGACUGCCGUUAGACAGAUCCUGUUUGAUCUGCAGCGCAAACAGAUACCUGUGAGAGACGAGUCCAGAGAUGUUCGUGUGCCGUUAUGAGCUGCUGUAUUGUUUGAUGUAGCGUGUGCUGCACCUGGUUAGUUCUCUCUGCAGUUGUCCUGGGUCUGGAGGGAAAAACUUCACUAUGAAGCGGAAAGUCAGAUCAUUCCUUCCUGUUUUAAGAGGAAGAGAAUAUCAUUUUUGGUUGUUUAUCAGCUUUUGCCUUCACAAGAUGUUAAUUGUUAACUGGAGCGGUGUGGUGUGAUGUUUUUAUCAGCUGUUUGGACUCUGAUUCUGACGGCACCCAUUCACUGCAGAGCAUCCGUUGAUGAGACACUGAUGCAAUGCUACAUUUCUCCAAAUCUGAUGAAGAAACAAACUCAUCUACAUCUUGGAGUAAAUUUUUCAUUUUUGGGGGAACUGUUCCUUUAAGGGCACAUCAAAAAUGAUAUGCAUGGAUAAAUCACUUACAAUAAAC